AAUCAUAAUACGAGACAAUAACGGCAGAAAGAUUUAGAUUAAAU
rnacentral:guide_RNA from 1 species